rnacentral:rRNA from 1 species
CUGGCGUCGCUUAUGCAUGCAGUCGAGGGAGAACCAGUCGUUCCGUAAGGUUCGGCUGGGGAAACCGGCGAACGGGUGCGUAACACGUGAGGAACCUGCCCCGAAGACCGGGAUAGCCCGAGGAAACUCGGAUUAAUACCGGAUACCCUCUCCAGACCGCAUGGUCUGCUGAGGAAAUGGUCCGCUGCUUCGGGAUGGACUCGCGGCCUAUCAGCUAGUUGGUGAGGUAAUGGCUCACCAAGGCAAAGACGGGUAGCUGGUCUGAGAGGACGAUCAGCCACACUGGGACUGAGACACGGCCCAGACUCCUACGGGAGGCAGCAGCAGGGAAUAUUGCACAAUGGGCGAAAGCCUGAUGCAGCGACACCGCGUGCGGGAUGAAGGCCUUCGGGUUGUAAACCGCUUUCAGGAGGGACGAAAAUGACGGUACCUCCAGAAGAAGGCCCGGCCAACUACGUGCCAGCAGCCGCGGUAAUACGUAGGGGCCAAACGUUGUCCGGAUUUAUUGGGCGUAAAGGGCUCGUAGGCGGUUCAACAAGUCGGUCGUGAAAGCCCGGGGCUCAACCCCGGGAUGCCGGUCGAAACUGUUGUGACUAGGGUCCGGUAGAGGUGAGUGGAAUUCUCGGUGUAGCGGUGGAAUGCGCAGAUAUCGAGAGGAACACCAGUAGCGAAAGCGGCUCACUGGGCCGGUACCGACGCUGAGGAGCGAAAGCAUGGGGAGCAAACAGGAUUAGAUACCCUGGUAGUCCAUGCCGUAACGAUGACCACUAGGUGGUGGCGGACUCAUUGACGUCUGCCGUGCCGAAGCUAACGCAUUAAG